GGGUUGUGAGGUUAAGCGACUAAGCGUACACGGUGGAUGCCUAGGCAGUCAGAGGCGAUGAAGGGCGUGCUAAUCUGCGAUAAGCGUCGGUAAGCUGAUAUGAAGCGUUAUACCCGACGAUACCCGAAUGGGGAAACCCAAUGUGUUUCGACACAUUAUCAUUACGUGAAUACAUAGCGUAAUGAGGCGAACCGGGGGAACUGAAACAUCUCAGUACCCGAGGAAAAGAAAUCAACCGAGAUUCCCCUAGUAGCGGCGAGCGAACGGGGAGGAGCCCAGAACCUGAAUCAGUUUGUGUGUUAGUGGAAGCGUCUGGAAAGUCGCACAGUAAAGGGUGAUAGUCCCGUACACAAAAAUGCACAGAUUGUGAGUUCGAUGAGUAGGGCGGGACACGUGACAUCCUGUCUGAAUAUGGGGGGACCAUCCUCCAAGGCUAAAUACUCCUGAUAGCUCACUGGUCGAGUCGGCCUGCGCGGAAGAUGUAACGGGGCUAACCCAUGCACCGAAGCUGCGGCAGCGACACUUAGGUGUUGUUGGGUAGGGGAGCGUUCUGUAAGCCGUCGAAGGUGACCUGUGAGGGUUGCUGGAGGUAUCAGAAGUGCGAAUGCUGACAUAAGUAACGAUAAUGCGGGUGAAAAACCCGCACGCCGGAAGACCAAGGGUUCCUGUCCAACGUUAAUCGGGGCAGGGUGAGUCGACCCCUAAGGCGAGGCUGAAAAGCGUAGUCGAUGGGAAACAGGUUAAUAUUCCUGUACUCGGUGUUACUGCGAACGGAGAAAGCUAGGUUAUCCGGGCGACGGUUGUCCCGGUUUAAGCGUGAAGGUGGAUGACUUAGGUAAAUCCGGGUCAUCGUUAACACUGAGGCGUGAUGACGAGUCACUACGGUGAUGAAGUAACCAAUGCUACGCUUCCAGGAAAAGCCUCUAAGCUCCAGGUAACAUCAAAUCGUACCCCAAACCGACACAGGUGGUCAGGUAGAGAAUACUCAGGCGCUUGAGAGAACUCGGGUGAAGGAACUAGGCAAAAUGGUGCCGUAACUUCGGGAGAAGGCACGCUCCUGUCGGUGAAGUCCCUUGCGGACGGAGCUGACGGGAGUCGCAGAUACCAGCUGGCUGCAACUGUUUAAUAAAAACACAGCACUGUGCAAACACGAAAGUGGACGUAUACGGUGUGACGCCUGCCCGGUGCCGGAAGGUUAAUUGAUGGGGUCAGCCGCAAGGCGAAGCUCUUGAUCGAAGCCCCGGUAAACGGCGGCCGUAACUAUAACGGUCCUAAGGUAGCGAAAUUCCUUGUCGGGUAAGUUCCGACCUGCACGAAUGGCGUAAUGAUGGCCAGGCUGUCUCCACCCGAGACUCAGUGAAAUUGAACUCGCUGUGAAGAUGCAGUGUACCCGCGGCAAGACGGAAAGACCCCGUGAACCUUUACUAUAGCUUGACACUGAACCUUGAGCCUUGAUGUGUAGGAUAGGUGGGAGGCUUUGAAGCGAGGGCGCCAGUUCUUGUGGAGCCAACCUUGAAAUACCACCCUUUAAUGUUUGAUGUUCUAACGUAGGCCCGUGAUCCGGGUUGCGGACAGUGUCUGGUGGGUAGUUUGACUGGGGCGGUCUCCUCCCAAAGAGUAACGGAGGAGCACGAAGGUUAGCUAAUCCUGGUCGGACAUCAGGAGGUUAGUGCAAAGGCAUAAGCUAGCUUGACUGCGAGAGUGACAGCUCGAGCAGGUGCGAAAGCAGGUCUUAGUGAUCCGGUGGUUCUGAAUGGAAGGGCCAUCGCUCAACGGAUAAAAGGUACUCCGGGGAUAACAGGCUGAUACCGCCCAAGAGUUCAUAUCGACGGCGGUGUUUGGCACCUCGAUGUCGGCUCAUCACAUCCUGGGGCUGAAGUAGGUCCCAAGGGUAUGGCUGUUCGCCAUUUAAAGUGGUACGCGAGCUGGGUUUAGAACGUCGUGAGACAGUUCGGUCCCUAUCUGCCGUGGGCGUUGGAAGCUGGUGUUCGGGUUGUGAUGCCAAUUGCAUUGCCCGGUAGCUAAGUGCGGAAGAGAUAACCGCUGAAAGCAUCUAAGCGGGAAACUUGCCUCGAGAUGAGUCUUCCCUGGGCACUAGAUGCCCCUGAAGGGCCGUUGAAGACUACGACGUAGAUAGGCUGGGUGUGUAAGCGUAGCGAUACGUUGAGCUAACCAGUACUAAUGACCCGAGAGGCUUAACCUUACAACACCGAAGGUGUUU
rnacentral:rRNA from 1 species